rnacentral:rRNA from 1 species
UACGUAGGGUACAAGCGUUGUCCGGAAUUAUUGGGCGUAAAGAGCUCGUAGGCGGUCUGUCGCGUCGGCUGUGAAAACCCGGAGCUCAACUCCGGGCCUGCAGUCGAUACGGGCAGACUGGAGUUCGGCAGGGGAGACUGGAAUUCCUGGUGUAGCGGUGAAAUGCGCAGAUAUCAGGAGGAACACCGGUGGCGAAGGCGGGUCUCUGGCCGAUACUGACGCUGAGGAGCGAAAGCGUGGGAGCGAACAGG